rnacentral:rRNA from 1 species
UAUUUAGAGAGUUUGAUCCUGGCUCAGGAUGAACGCUGGCGGCGUGCUUAACACAUGCAAGUCGAACGGAGAAUAUACGCUGAGGAGGCUUCGGCCAAAUCUUGUGUAUUCUUAGUGGCGGACGGGUGAGUAACGCGUGGGUAACCUGCCUUACACAGGGGGAUAACACUUAGAAAUAGGUGCUAAUACCGCAUAAGCGCACGGUGCUGCAUGGCACAGUGUGAAAAACUGAGGUGGUGUAAGAUGGACCCGCGUCUGAUUAGCUAGUUGGUGAGGUAACGGCCCACCAAGGCGACGAUCAGUAGCCGGCCUGAGAGGGUGAACGGCCACAUUGGGACUGAGACACGGCCCAAACUCCUACGGGAGGCAGCAGUGGGGGAUAUUGGACAAUGGGGGGAACCCUGAUCCAGCGACGCCGCGUGAGUGAAGAAGUAUUUCGGUAUGUAAAGCUCUAUCAGCAGGGAAGAAAAUGACGGUACCUGAGUAAGAAGCCCCGGCUAACUACGUGCCAGCAGCCGCG